CCACCAUGACUCUCAUCACCAUCCUCAUCUGGACGCUGGCCUGCUGCUGCUUCACAGGAUGCAGUGGUCAGGUGACUGUGACUCAGCCUCCAGUAAAGACAUCUACUCCAGGAUCCACUGUCACUAUGACCUGUAAGACCAGCCAAAAUGUUGGUCUUUGUGAUAGUAAACCAUGUAUGUCCUGGUAUCAACAGAAAUCUGGACAGCUUCCAAAGCUCCUUGUUAAACAAAGUAACAUAAGCCAAUCAGGAACACCAGCUCGGUUUAGUGGCAGUGGAAGCAGCUCUGACUUCUCUUUGACCAUCAGUGGAGUUCAGGCUGAAGAUGCAGCAGUUUACUACUGUCAGAGUGGUCAUAAUAUUGACAGCGUUGUGUCAUUCACUUUUGGUGGAGGAACCAAACUCACCGUUGACUUGGGUGUGGUGCGUCCCACCCUGAGCGUCCUCCCCCCCUCCAGAGAGGAGCUGCAGCAGAGCAGUGCCACACUGGUGUGUCUGGCCAGCGGGGGCUUCCCCUCGACCUGGAGUCUGGGCUGGAAGGUGGGGGGCAGCAGCAGGUCCUCGGGGGUGUCCCGCAGCGUGGAGGUCCUGGGGGGGGACGGCCACUACAGCUGGAGCAGCUCCCUGAGCCUCACUGCAGACCAGUGGAGGAAGGCGUGCUCAGUGAGCUGUGAGGCCAGUCUGAAUGGACAGAGCCCUGUCACUCAAACCCUGGAGCCUGACCGCUGCUCAGAGUAGAGCUUCAGCAACACUUCCUGUCUGGAAAUGAUGCUUCUGAUACUUUCAUCAAGCUGCACAUCUUCUCUCUUCUGAUAUUUGCUCAACACGCGACCGUCCUUUCAUUUCUACACGAUUCUGCUCUUUAACAAUUAUUUUAAAAAUGCUGAUAAAUUUUCAUGCAGAGAAUAAACUGACAUUUAAUAAAAUCAACAACUUUUU